ACAAGCCACCAUUUUUUCCUUCUGUUUUGAGCUCUGCUAUAUCAGCUUGUCCCUUCUCAACUAGGAAGAAGAUGUUGUCACUAACAGAUGAUUUAAAGUGGAUCCAACUGGAGUCACCCUCAGAGAAACCCGCUUCCUACAGUGACUUUGAAUCGCCUUAAGUUUCCUCCACUUCUAGGGUCAAAUGCGUCUUUAUGGCUCUCUGUCGAUGGCAUGCAAGAGAAGUUGAAAAACUAUUUUUAUAAAGAGGACUUGGGU